rnacentral:rRNA from 1 species
CCUACGGGUGGCUGCAGUGGGGAAUAUUGCACAAUGGGGGAAACCCUGAUGCAGCGACGCCGCGUGAGCGAUGAAGUAUUUCGGUAUGUAAAGCUCUAUCAGCAGGGAAGAAAAUGACGGUACCUGACUAAGAAGCCCCGGCUAACUCCGUGCCAGCAGCCGCGGUAAUACGUAGGGGGCACGCGUUAUCCGGAUGUACUGGGUGUAAAGGGAGCGUAGACGGCUUGGCAAGCCAGAUGUGAAAGGCUGGGGCUCAACCCCAGGACUGCAUUUGGAACUGGCAUGCUAGAGUGUCGGAGAGGCUAGCGGAAUUCCAAGUGUAGGGGUGAAAUGCGUAGAUAUUAGGAGGAACACCAGUGGCGAAGGCGGCCUGCUGGACGAUGACUGACGUUGAGGAGCGAAAGCGUGGGGAGCAAACAGGAUUAGAUACCCUAGUAGUC